GGAGAAGAAAGCUAAGUCUGGGACAGGUUUGCAGGAAAGAGAGCUCCUUCCUGCCUCAGGAUGUGGUUGCAGAGGCUCCUGCCUUCAGUUUCCAGCCUCCAGGAGGAAAGGAAAGGCUAUGAAGAUACUUUUCUCUUUUCCAAUUACAAAACUGUUUGAAGACUUUCUGCAUAUACUUCACCAAAAAAGCAUGGCACAACAGAAUAAAUUCAGAAGCAGUUAUGAGAAUCCAGUGAUCUUCUUUCAGGCAAGACAUUAAUGAGACUUGCAAAAAUAUAAAACAGUGUCACUC